CACACGACUCUCGGCAACGGAUAUCUCGGCUCUCGCAUCGAUGAAGAACGUAGCGAAAUGCGAUACCUGGUGUGAAUUGCAGAAUCCCGCGAACCAUCGAGUCUUUGAACGCAAGUUGCGCCCGAGGCCUCUCGGCCGAGGGCACGCCUGCCUGGGCGUCACGC
rnacentral:rRNA from 3 species